rnacentral:rRNA from 1 species
UGAGUAACCUGCCCUUAACUCUGGGAUAAGCCUGGGGAAACUGGGUCUAAUACCGGAUACGAGCUGCGAAGGCAUCUUCAGCAGCUGGAAAGAACUUCGGUCAGGGAUGAGCUCGCGGCCUAUCAGCUAGUUGGUGAGGUAAUGGCUCACCAAGGCGUCGACGGGUAGCCGGCCUGAGAGGGUCGACCGGCCACACUGGGACUGAGACACGGCCCAGACCUCCGUACGGGAGC